AGGUCCAUGACAGAGGCGCGGUGACCUCUCAGCACAGCCACUGGGUCCGGUGGCGGUCUCUGUUUGCUCAUUGGACCUGCUUCUUCAAUAAGCAAUGCGCAGUCACAGACAGAGUCACAGACUGCCGCUAUAGCACUAGAGGGAGGUGCUGAGUACACGACCCGACGGGGUUGAAAGGGGUUUCUUCGUGUUAUCUGCAAUUCAAGAACAGGAACGUCAAAUUAGAGAACAGGAACGUCACAGAACAUAUUGAUCAAUCGCAGGCACUUAAAAUGAACUUAACUCUUACGACUUAUUCAAGAGGAGGUGCUAUUACAGAUUGUACUAGACCAACGUUCCAUUGGACUAGUCAAGAUAGAAGAACGAACUUAAAAUUGACUUCGUCCUCUGGUCAACAUACAAACCGAUUCUGCAACAUUCAAUCAAUUCUUAGACGAGGACUAUGAUCAAAUAUUCAAAAUCCGUAAGAACUGCAGCUUCAAAAAACUUCAGUUCCUAACCAGCAGAACUAAAAACCCUAGAAAUUCAAAAUCUCCAAUCCGGUGGCGGUCUCUGUUUGCUCAUUGGACCUGCUUCUUCAAUAAGCAAUGCGCAGUCACAGACUGCCGCUAUAGCACUAGAGGGAGGUGCUGAGUACACGACCCGACGGGGUUGAAAGGGGUUUCUCCUCUUUUUUUUUUUUGGUUUUGAUCAAG
rnacentral:lncRNA from 1 species